AUGAUGAUCAUCAACAUUCUGGUUUUGCCUGACAGAUUUCAAAUUAUUUUACUUUGCAUUUCUUUCUUAUUUAGCAUUUAUCAAGAACCUACCAUGUGCCAGAUACCAUGCUUUCAAAUAUAUUGCAUAAUUCAAUCAUCAUGUCAAUCCUGUGCUGUGGAUCUGAAUAUCCUCAUUUUCCAGGAUGCUGUGUAUAUGAAAUUGCAGUACAGCUAUGACACCUAAGAGAUUUGAAAGAUUAAUUUGGGCCAAAGGCCUCGAGGAAAGAAGAUUUCAUUACUGAGGUUGCCAGAAGGAAUGAAGAAGAAUGGAGAAUGAUUCUCAUAAUUAUAGCAUCUUGGAAAUUUUGAGCAGAAGCUCGUCUGACAAUGGAAAAAGCAGACUAUGUCAUUGGCUGUUGAAGACUCUAACCAUAGCCUUUGAACAGAAAUGAUGAAAAGGAGGAAUUAACCAGGCUAGGAAGGUGACAAGGUACCCAGAAGGACUGGGGAGUAAAAGGAAUGGUAAAGAGCAAGACGAAUUCGGUGCAGCCUCCCAAAGGACUGUUCAAAGAUCUACAGCCUCUCAUUGGCCCCUGCUGGUGCAGCCUGUGCGUGUAGAAGGAGCCUCUCCACGUCUGGCCAUCUAGUACCCCAGGUGAGUGAAGAGAGUCCUCAGCUUACAGGGACAAAAAUACCUCCAGGGCUAGAUGUCGGUUGUGGCAAAUACCUCCUUUUAGUGCUAUUUUGCUACUUUGUGUCUAGGUGGAUGUAAGGAUUCUCUUCCCCAUGGAUAUAAAUAAUGCUUCUCAGGCCAGACACCUGCUUAGGCUGGUUUACUCUGCCGGUAAUAUUCAGCUACCUGGCCAUGUGGUGUUUCUAGGUCAGAUAAAGGAUAAUCAAGCCUGCAGGAAUGAAGAGUAAUUUGUGUCCCAGACAUUUGUUUUGUCAGGAAAUCCUUGUUGAAUGUCUCUAGUUGAUGAAAGCUCUUCUCUGACCUAUAAGAGUUUGUCUAGGUCUGGGGGCUUAUAAAUAAUGUUGGUGACCAUUUUGUUUGAACCGUCUGGCUUCCUGGUGUCUCUAGAUAGGGAAUUGGAGUCUCAGACUGGUGGAGAUGAUGAGGCUUGUGGAGUUGGUUACUUUUUAUGACAGGAUCACCCUUGAAUGUGCAGGUACUGCCAGCUGCCUGGCCAGUGCCUCUAGGCAGGGGAAGUGGGAUCUCAGAUGUUUAAAGGAAGGAGAGUGUUUCUUCCAGCCACUUAUUUUCAGUUGAUUAGCAAUCGAUUUGUCUCGCCAUUGUUCCUGGGUUUUCCUGGUGUUCUUGGCAAAACUUUCAUUACAUCCUGGUUAAGAAUGGCCACACCUGAGCUCAUUGCUAUGUUUUGUUGCUAUGUUAACUAUCAGGAGUCUCUGGGCCUAUACAUCCUUCUGCUCUUAGGUCAGGCAUCCUUAGACUCACUGCUGCUAUGUUCUUUCUCCAAUCCUUGGGCCCUUAGACAUUCUACCUUCUUCUUUCAACCUUUCAGGAUUUUCUUUUGGUUGACUGUAGUGAUAUUUAUAAGGUUUAUAAUUAUACUUUAGUGGGAAGAAUCUAUCCCAUGUAGCAAAACCAGUAGUUUCUCCUGUAUCUUUUGAUGGGCCCUAAUUUUGAAACUUUUCUUACUUUCUUGGAAGCACAAAUUAUUUCUGGCCCAUCUUGCGUUCUUCCUAUCUUAGACUUCAAUUUGAUUUCUUAUAUUGGAGAAUAGCAUUAAAAGACCAAGAUGUGGGUGCUAGUUAUUCUCAUUGUUACUGGGAUUUCAUUAUCUACAAUCUAUAGGUACAUGUAUGUUAUAGUUACAUCACUUAUUUUCUACCUGGUUCCUUUAGUGUGAUUGGUUUAUUUAUAAAUAAUAAUUUAGUUUUUUUCUGAGUGUUUGAAUUCCAUUUGAGUCCUUCCUCUCAAUCUUGAUUGGUUUUAAUUAUUUUUAUAUAUUUAGCAUUUGAAGUGUAUAGAAAGCAAUAAUGGUUCCAAGAGUCAAGUUCUCUAAAGCGACAUUUCUCCUAAUCCCUGCUAUACAAUUCCAGUCCCUCCCUUCUUGCCAGUUUCUUUCCACAUGCCAUAUUUGGGUAACCAAUCUAUUCAGUUUCUAAUAUACAUAUCUUUCUUGUAUAUC